GACGAACGCUGGCGGCGUGCUUAACACAUGCAAGUCGAACGAGUGGCGAACGGGUGAGUAAUACGCGAGUAACCUGCCCUCUUUUUGGGAUAAGCCUUGUAAACGGGGUCUAAUACCGGAUAAAGGGGGAUGGGCUCGCGGCAUAUCAGCUUGUUGGUGGGGUGAUUGCCUACCAAGGCGGUGACGGGUAGCCUGCCUGAGAAGGUGAACUGCCACAUUGGUGCUGAGUUACGGCCCAGACUCCUACGGGAGGCAGCAGUGGGGGAUAUAGCACAAUGGGCGAAAGACUGAUGCAGCGACGCCGCGUGGGGGAUGCAGGCUUUCGGGUUGUAAACAUAUUUCGAGAUCGAACGGGUAGGUGAAGAAGAAGCGCCGGCUAACUACGUGCCAGCAGCCGCGGUAAUUC
rnacentral:rRNA from 1 species